GGCUACUUUGAUUUUUUUUACUUGAACAGUUAUUCGCAAUUAAAAAAUAGAGUAAGUCAAGUAUUUACAUUAGCCUCUUCUCAAAUAUUUUAUUUAACUUCUCAGGAAAUCGAAAUUUAUCCCCCUGCUAACGAAUCGCUGUUUUUUUUAAUCAUUAAAUUAUUAUAAAUAGAUAGGACUAUCUAUAAACCAGCACAUGUUCACUCAAUCAGAGCAUUAACUAUUCAUCUUUGCUUACUCAAUAACAGAAAGACUAAAACAAAAUUGAAUUUUUCAGCUUCAGAUUGAUCUUUUGUUGUUUUAGAAUAAACAAAUGUAGUUUUUAACGAUUAGAAUAUGAUACUACUGUUCAAGGUGUUCCCAAACAAACCAUAUAUCCGAUACAUAGCGUUUAACCUUCAAUGCACAUAUUAUGAUAAAAAUAUUUAAGUAUAUGCGUAUAUAUAUAUAUAUUGGUUAACUUUAUUAGGUAAUUUGUGAUCUUUAAAAAAAUUUCCUAAUAAAAGCUAAACCUAAGUUUUUCUGGUUUAUAAUAGCAAAACAAAUGUUUUAGCAGUGUUUAAUUCUACUGAUGAUAUAAUUUCGCGUUAAUUGUUAUAAUUAGCACAGCCAAAAUAGGUUCAGUCUUUUCGCAUUGGUGUUAUCCGCACUCUUCUUAUAAUAAAGUAAAAAAAGCUUAAAUCUUUAAAAAAUUGUCCUGCCCAAAAGACGGGCGUAUUGAUCGGCCAUAGCGUUUGCAGAAGAAAACGAAAGUUUUGCUGCUAUAAAAAAUGACCGACAAGACUAACGGCGACCUAGUAAACGGCGUCGAUAGAGACGAUCCAGAAUAUCAACGUCAAAUCAGACGUCCUGCAGACGUGAAAGAAGAUUUAAGACAGAUGGAUACAAGAAAGAGAGUUCAUGAAAUUCUAACAAGUCAAUCGUUCAAAGAUGAAUUAGAACAAAUUGUAAACGAUACAUUAGUACCGGGAAAGGGAACUGAAUCCUUUGCUGUUCUCCAAGAACUAUCGAGGCUCGUAUUGCCAUCACAUCGUACACCUGCUGAAUUAGGUGGAAUAAGCUUCUCUCACAGCGGUGUCUUACCUAUCAGCGAUUUAAGAGGUGUGGAUGCUCUCAAAUACUCUAACUCUGAAAAAGCGGCAAGAUGCAAAUUAGCAAGUACCGCCAGACUUAUUGAAACGUUGGGCUGGACGACAGGAAGCAAUUCGGUGUUGAGCUUAAAACUCGGAAAGAAUCCCGAGCAUUUCUUGAUACCACCCUCAGGUCUUCUCCCCAGUGAAUUGACCGCCUCGUCGCUGAUCAAAGUUGACAUGCUUGGUCAGGUUCAGGAUGCUGGUUCUACUACCUUAGAACAUCAUAAGAAAGUCUGGUCUACUUAUGCCGAAAUUCAUGCUGCUCGACCAGAUAUUAAGGUUCUUCUUCCUCUGCAAAGUCCCAAUGCCCUGGCUGUUUCUUCAUUGAAAAGCGGACUCUUACCAAUUUCUCAACACGCAUGUGUCGUUGGACAGUAUAGCACUUUCGAAGCUGCUUCCUUCUCUGGUCUGAAUGAUCAAGAAAAGAAAGAAAUAAUCAGAUGCUUAGGCCCAUCUAAUAAGGUUUUGAUGAUUCGAAACUGUGGUUUUCUAAUCGGAGGAGAGUCUGUUGAAGAGGCCACAUGGAUAGGCAACCAGGUUUUAACUGCUUGUGAAGCCCAAAUUCGCGUCCUACCAGUUGGAUUAGAUAACUUGAGCUUGAUUCCAGAAGAAGAACGCGAAAAAAUAGCUGAUUCUUUUAAGUCGAGCGGUAAACAAGAAUUUGAAGCCUAUAUUCGAUUGUUGGAUCAGGCUGGGUAUAGAACUGACUAUCCAUACCAAUCAAUUUCUCGUAAAGAUGGACAAGGUCGAUUGAACGACGAAAUCGAAUAUCCCCCAGCAGCAUUAUCAUCUGGACUGCUUGAUGAACCUAUGAGCCCUAUGAGAAGGCAUCAAGAACUACAGAAAAAAGCUAAAAAGACAAAGUGGUUAGGAUCCCCAAAUGUUUAUGAAAAAAAACAGAUUGAAGAAAUUGGGGCCACCGAAAAUCCCAAAAAGUUUACGGUAUGGGUUGAAUCGAAAGACGGAGGAAAUGGAGGACAGACAGUUAAGGUCGUAGAUAAUCCAAACCAAUUUGCCCCCCAAGGACAUAACCCACACGAAUUAAGGGAAAAACAUCAACAAAUUAGGAAGGAGUAUUAUGAAGAUAGAAUCGACGCUGGUCCUCAGUCUAAAAUUUUAGAGGGUGCGACUUGGGAUGAGGCUAGACAGAUGCAGGAUAAUCCUGAUCAAAUAAUUACUAUUGGGGCUGCAUCUAAAGGAAUUAUACAACGCGAUCACCAACAUAAUGCUACAGUCUACAAGCAAACUGUUACACCAAAUCCAUUUACAAAUAUGACAGAAGAUGACUUGCAAAAGUACAAACAGGAUCUGGAAAGAAAAGAAAGAGGAGAACUUCCAUCACCUGGGGCAGAAGGUCGUCUGAUUUCUACCGAGGAACGUAUUAAGAAAGUACGCCAAGGAGAAGCUCCAUCGACUCUACAAACCACCACUGUUCAGUCAGUAUCUAUGAACGGAGAAGAUGCUACAGCCGCGGCUUCACCUACGAAAUCAGUUUCAAGUGCCGCAACUGAAGGCAGUCGCGAGGGCUCUCCCGCUAAAGAAAUUGGAAAGAGUGAAAAGAAGAAGAAAAAAUUUAGAAUGCCCUCUUUCACAAAGGGAAAAAAGAAGUAAAAAGAAGUCG
rnacentral:misc_RNA from 1 species